rnacentral:rRNA from 1 species
GACGAACGCUGGCGGCGUGCUUAACACAUGCAAGUCGAACGGAAAGGCCCUGCUUUUGUGGGGUGCUCGAGUGGCGAACGGGUGAGUAACACGUGAGUAACCUGCCCUUGACUUUGGGAUAACUUCAGGAAACUGGGGCUAAUACCGGAUAGGAGCUCCUGCUUCAUGGUGGGGGUUGGAAAGUUUCGGCGGUUGGGGAUGGACUCGCGGCUUAUCAGCUUGUUGGUGGGGUAGUGGCUUACCAAGGCUUUGACGGGUAGCCGGCCUGAGAGGGUGACCGGCAAAAUUGGGACUGGGAUACGGCCCAGCCUCCUACGGGAGGCAGCAGUGGGGAAUAUUGCACAAUGGGCGGAAGCCUGAUGCAGCAACGCCGCGUGCGGGAUGACGGCCUUCGGGUUGUAAACCGCUUUCGCAUGUGACGAAGCGUGAGUGACGGUAAUGGGUAAAGAAGCACCGGCUAACUACGUG